UAUCCUGUCUGAAUAUGGGGGGACCAUCCUCCAAGGCUAAAUACUCCUGACUGACCGAUAGUGAACCAGUACCGUGAGGGAAAGGCGAAAAGAACCCCUGUGAGGGGAGUGAAAUAGAACCUGAAACCGUGUACGUACAAGCAGUAGGAGCACCUUCGUGGUGUGACUGCGUACCUUUUGUAUAAUGGGUCAGCGACUUAUAUUCAGUGGCAAGGUUAACCAUCUAGGGGAGCCGUAGGGAAACCGAGUCUUAACUGGGCGCCAUAGUCUCUGGAUAUAGACCCGAAACCGAGUGAUCUAGCCAUGGGCAGGUUGAAGGUUGAGUAACAUCAACUGGAGGACCGAACCGACUAAUGUUGAAAAAUUAGCGGAUGACUUGUGGCUAGGGGUGAAAGGCCAAUCAAACUCGGAGAUAGCUGGUUCUCCCCGAAAGCUAUUUAGGUAGCGCCUCGGACGAAUACUACUGGGGGUAGAGCACUGUUAAGGCUAGGGGGUCAUCCCGACUUACCAACCCUUUGCAAACUCCGAAUACCAGUAAGUACUAUCCGGGAGACACACGGCGGGUGCUAACGUCCGUCGUGGAGAGGGAAACAACCCAGACCGCCAGCUAAGGUCCCAAAUUACAGCUAAGUGGGAAACGAUGUGGGAAGGCUUAGACAGCUAGGAUGUUGGCUUAGAAGCAGCCAUCAUUUAAAGAAAGCGUAAUAGCUCACUAGUCGAGUCGGCCUGCGCGGAAGAUGUAACGGGGCUAAGUUGUAAACCGAAGCUGCGGCAAUGUUCUUUGAACAUUGGGUAGGGGAGCGUUCUGUAAGCCGUUGAAGGUGUGUUGUAAAGCAUGCUGGAGGUAUCAGAAGUGCGAAUGCUGACAUGAGUAACGACAAGGGGGGUGAAAAACCUCCCCGCCGGAAGACCAAGGGUUCCUGUCCAACGUUAAUCGGGGCAGGGUAAGUCGACCCCUAAGGCGAGGCCGAAAGGCGUAGUCGAUGGGAAACGGGUUAAUAUUCCCGUACUUCUUACAAUUGCGAUGGGGGGACGGAGAAGGCUAGGUGGGCCUGGCGACGGUUGUCCAGGUUCAAGUGCGUAGGCU
rnacentral:rRNA from 1 species